rnacentral:rRNA from 1 species
AGUAACGGCGAGUGAAGCGGCAACAGCUCAAAUUUGAAAUCUGGCUCUUUUAGAGUCCGAGUUGUAAUUUGUAGAAGAUGCUUCGGGUGUGGCUCCGGUCUAAGUUCCUUGGAACAGGACGUCAUAGAGGGUGAGAAUCCCGUAUGUGACUGGGUGCCUUCGCCUAUGUGAAGCUCUUUCGACGAGUCGAGUUGUUUGG